rnacentral:rRNA from 1 species
GAUGAACGCUAGCUACAGGCUUAACACAUGCAAGUCGAGGGGCAGCGCAGUGUAGCAAUACAUGGGCGGCGACCGGCGCACGGGUGCGUAACGCGUAUCCAACCUUCCCGUUACUCAGGGAUAGCCUUCCGAAAGGGAGAUUAAUACCUGAUGGUGUUCAAAUUCCGCAUGUUAUUUGAACUAAAGAUUCAUCGGUAACGGAUGGGGAUGCGUGACAUUAGGUAGAUGGCGGGGUAACGGCCCACCAUGCCCACGAUGUCUAGGGGUUCUGAGAGGAAGGUCCCCCACACUGGAACUGAGACAAGGUCCAGACUCCUACGGGAGGCAGCAGUGAGGAAUAUUGGUCAAUGGUCGGAAGAUUGAACCAGCCAAGUAGCGUGAAGGAUGAAGGUUCUAUGGAUUGUAAACUUCUUUUAUACGGGAAUAAAACCACCUACGUGUAGGUGCUUGUAUGUACCGUAUGAAUAAGCAUCGGCUAACUCCGUGCCAGCCGCCGCAGUAAAAC